GAUGGAGCGGCAGCUUCCUUGGCCUCCUGCUGAGGGUAUAUCAAUCCCAACGGCCCAGGAUGCAUUCAUCCCACAUAAGGCUUUGAGUCCUUCUUUAAUAGUAUGGGGUGUUCUGCAUUUUAAGAGACAAAAUAGAAAAUUAAGGGCAUUACUGCAAGCAGACUAACAGCAAGACAUAUGCUUCCUGCUACAUUCUGCAAGAUGCCUGUGAAUUUACAACAGCCAGUCAGCCUCCUGUAAGAAGUUUGCCAUCAGCCUGAAGUGACAAUAUUCUGUCAGCAAGGGUGGCUAUGGCUGAAGUGUUGGAAACACUGAAGCAGCAUAGGCAGCAGCAUGUACGCAGCAUAGCCCAGCGGCUCCUUUCCUGACAGCCUGCCUGGUGGAUGUGGUGUUUCAGUCUGAGGCAACUGUGAACAGUACCAAUGGGCAGGGAGUAGCUGCAGUGUGAAGCUACUGCUUGCUUCCAGCUUACCUGACAUACAGUGUCUGACUUCUGCCCCUGUUGAACAAGAGCUGGCUUUCCAAGGGCCCCACAGGCGCUGUCUUCUACCACAUUGUUAACCUCAGGACUCUGCCUUCCCAAUGGACCAAUGGAUGCUGAAGAAUUUGUGAUUUUGCAGGUUAUUAACUUUAUUUUUGUUAUGAGGGUGGGACUGAUUCUCUUUCCACAUUUUAAGAGAAAUCUAGGAGUCAGAAUCUUCAAAAUGUGAACUGUUUCCUGAGUCCCUGCAAAAGCUGACUUUAUGGAUAUAACAUUAGAACACUGUAAAGGUCCUCUAAGUAUUGUGCCCUGGAUCGAGAAUGCAUUCCAGCACUUCAGGGACCACUUCAUUCCACGUUUUUCCUAAUGACUUGCUUUUCUGCAUUUCUUGGGUACCAUAAUGGAAGAAGACAUCACUUUGUAAAACUUCCACUUCCAUGAAACUCUGGGAAUGGAUUGCUCAAUGCUGUAGUGGCAGUUCUGGUGAGGUGUUGGUAUUUAAUUAUAUUGCACAGAAAACAGAGAGCCAAACAGUACUUGUGACAUUAUUGCACUUCUUGGUAAAUAAAACCAGAGCAAAAUACAUGGUCUACCAGAGGAUUCAUGCUACCCUUUAAAUUAUUUGAUGAGAAGACUAGCAUUUUUAAAUUAGAGUAAAUAUACAUGGGGAUCUACACAUCUUGUAGCCCCUUCUUUGAGAUUCAGAAGAGUGUCUCUCAUUAAGAACUCCAGUAUCCACCCCUCACCACCUGCAACCCCACUGACGCACACACAAUACAGUAUACAUCAAGUCCGAGCUUGUACUGGGCAGUAGCAUUCUCCUAAUCCAACCUAAAAAAAAUAAUUAUCUCAGUCUCUGAAAUUCAGAAUUGCAAUGCAGGAAUCCUUCAUAACUAAUCGCCAGUCCUGAAUCUGGGAGUAUAUAUGUUAUAUUUCCACUAGAAGAAAUAAGUAGUAUAGUUAAUUAACAGACACUAUCAUUUUCCCUUAUGUUCAUUUAAAAGAGAAUUUGUUUCUGAUCCUUAAAAAAAAUCCAAAGAUGAUACUUUUCUCUGCAGUAAUGCCCUCAGUUGUAACCUCAGUGUUAGGAAUCAUGCUCAAUCAGUUGCUGUGUAUGUGAAAAGAAAAAAGAAAUCGAGUUUAACUACUUUUCUUGAAAUCUUUAGUGUUGUUAAAAAUAAGAAUUUGGAAGUAGAAAGAGAAAAAUCCUUUGAAAGAAAGUGUAACAGAUCAUUCACAGCACUGUUGUUUUCUCACUUUAUUUGUCCAGAUUUCUGAACCCUCAGCACCCUCCUCUCAGAGCACUCCCUGGUCUCUGAAAAAAGCGCUGAGCUGAGAUUAUUUAAGUCCCUUUUUCCUCCACUCACCUCUCACAUUCUGGAGGCAGCAACAAUGGGCUGUGAUUGAAAUCUUCCCAGGCAACAUGAACGAUUACCAGGCACAAUGACAAUGUGCAUAAUGGGCACGAAAGAGACAUUGUUAAAGUUUCAGGUGAUUUGAAUUGAGAUGUUAACUCUAAUCAUCUGCUUUUAUAAGAAAUUUGUUUGAAUCUUUUUGUUUGCUUUUUAGUCCCCCCCAGUAAAUGCUGUUUUCUUUUUAUUAUU